CGUGAGUAACCUGCCUCUAAGAGGGGAAUAACAUUCUGAAAGAAAUGCUAAUACCGCAUAACAUAUAUUUAUCGCAUGGUAGAUAUAUCAAAGAUUUAUCGCUUAGAGAUGGACUCGCGUCCGAUUAGUUAGUUGGUGAGGUAACGGCUCACCAAGACUGCGAUCGGUAGCCGGACUGAGAGGUUGAACGGCCACAUUGGGACUGAGACACGGCCCAG
rnacentral:rRNA from 1 species